ACUGCUGUGCACAAAAGGGAAAGAUGUAGCUCUGAACUUAAAUGUUGAAGCAAUCAGGUUUCCAUUGCAUACUACGUGAGGCCUGAAAUACAUUGUGUUCAAAAGUUCUCAGAAUCUGGCUUUUCCUCUCUGUGCUAAUAAGGCAUUCAGAAAAAAACCCAAAAACAACCUCCUCAAAAUUUGAGACUUCACAACUGCUUAAAACCUUAGCAAAUACCACAGUAUGUGUAUACUUUAAAUGUCAGCCAUAUUAUCUUUUCUGAGGAGUUUUUGCAGGAGAGAGUGAAGAAUAUCAAUCGAGUGCAGCCCAGUGACCUGUUACUCAUUGAGUUUAUUAGCAGAUGUGUGUACAGCUUUAAACCAGUGGCAGAGAUGACUGCUUUGGGAAGAACCUCCUUGAACCACGGGAAGUAUUUUAAGCAUGAAGAGCCUCCUGUCAUUUUGCCUUUUUUAAUUUGGCUUCAUUGACUUGUAAAUGAAACUUGGUCUCCUUCCAGGUUGCUUAUUAUUUACAUGUCUUCCACAGCUAGGCUGUGGGGUUUCUGUGAUAGAAAUUAUGUUUUUUGAGGUGAUAAAAGAAGGACCAACCUUCUCCUUCUUUAACCAGGCUGAGAAUGCCACAGACUUCUGUGUGGGUGCACUGAAGAACCAUGGUAGGAGAAGCAUGGUAAAACAAAUAUAGCCAUCAAAUCAGUCUUGAUGGAAAACAUGAUUAGUUAGUUUUUCAAAAAAAUGUUGUGUCAGGGAAGGUUUAGGUUGGAUAUUAGAAUAAUGCUGUUCGCCCAGAGGGUGUUUGGGCACUGGAACAGGCUCCCCAGGGAAGUGAUCACAGCACCAAGCCUGACAGAGCUCAAGAAGUAUUUGGACAGUGCUCUCAGGCACGUGGUGUGACUCUUGGGGCUGGUGCUGUGCAGGGCCAGAACAUGGGUCCUUUCCAAGUCAGGUUAUUCUGUGAUUCUCUAUGAUUCUGUGAAAAGUGAUCUUUUCCCUUAGUGGUGAAAACAAAAAGGGUGGGAACUCAACUGAAAUGAACUGCAAUAAAAACAAAACAAAACAAGCUUAUUUUUUUCCC
rnacentral:lncRNA from 1 species